CACGUAUGGGGCGAGCGUUGUUCGGAAUUAUUGGGCGUAAAGGGCAUGCAGGCGGUUUAAUAAGUCUGAUGUGUAAUCUCCUGGCUUAACUGGGAAGACGCGUUGGAAACUGUUAGACUUGAAUACAGGAGAGGGAGUCGGAAUUCUAGGUGUAGGGGUGAAAUCUGUAGAUAUCUAGAAGAACAUCAAUGGCGAAGGCAGACUCCUGGCCAUGUAUUGACGCUCAGAUGCGAAAGCGUGGGUAGCAAACAGG
rnacentral:rRNA from 1 species